GACAGAGGUGCCAAGCGUUAGUCGGAAUCACUGGGCUUAAAGCGUGUGUAGGCGGAUCGUUAAGUACCUUGUGAAAUCCCACGGCUCAACCGUGGAACUGCUCGGUAUACUGGCGGUCUUGAGCCACCUAGGGGCAACUGGAACAAGCGGUGGAGCGGUGAAAUGCGUAGAGAUUGGAAAGAACACCGAUGGCGAAGGCACUUUACUGGGCUAUUACUAACACUCAGAGACGAAAGCUAGGGUAGCAAAUGGG
rnacentral:rRNA from 1 species